rnacentral:rRNA from 1 species
UACAGAGGGUGCAAGCGUUAAUCGGAAUUACUGGGCGUAAAGCGUGCGCAGGCGGUUUUGUAAGUCUGACGUGAAAUCCCCGGGCUCAACCUGGGAAUUGCGUUGGAGACUGCAAGGCUAGAAUCUGGCGGAGGGGGGUAGAAUUCCACGUGUAGCAGUGAAAUGCGUAGAGAUGUGGAGGAACACCGAUGGCGAAGGCAGCCCCCUGGGUCAAGAUUGACGCUCAUGCACGAAAGCGUGGGGAGCAAACAGG